GACGAACGCUGGCGGCGUGCUUAACACAUGCAAGUCGAACGGAAAGGCCCUGCUUGCAGGGUACUCGAGUGGCGAACGGGUGAGUAACACGUGGGUGAUCUGCCCUGCACUUCGGGAUAAGCCUGGGAAACUGGGUCUAAUACCGGAUAGGAGCCAUUUUUAGUGUGAUGGUUGGAAAGUUUUUUCGGUGUAGGAUGAGCUCGCGGCCUAUCAGCUUGUUGGUGGGGUAAUGGCCUACCAAGGCGGCGACGGGUAGCCGGCCUGAGAGGGUGGACGGCCACAUUGGGACUGAGAUACGGCGCAGACUCCUACGGGAGGCAGCAGUGGGGAAUAUUGCACAAUGGGCGCAAGCCUGAUGCAGCGACGCCGCGUGGGGGAUGACGGCCUUCGGGUUGUAAACUCCUUUCGCUAGGGACGAAGCUUUUGUGACGGUACCUAGAUAAGAAGCACCGGCUAACUACGUG
rnacentral:rRNA from 1 species